CUUUGANGUAAAUUAGAGUNUUCAAAGCAGGCGAUCGCCNUGAAUACAUUAGCAUGGAAUAGCAUGAUAGGACUCUGGCCUAUCUUGCUGGUCUGUAGGACCGGAGUAAUGAUUAAGAGGGACAGUCGGGGGCAUUCGUAUUUCAUUGUCAGAGGUGAAAUUCUUGGAUUUAUGAAAGACGAACUUCUGCGAAAGCAUUUGCCAAGGAUGUUUUCAUUGAUCAAGAACGAAAGUUGGGGGCUCGAAGACGAUUAGAUACCGUCGUAGUCUCAACCAUAAACGAUGCCGACCAGGGAUUGGCGGGUGUUCUUUUAAUGACCCCGCCAGCACCUUGAGAGAAAUCAGAGUCUUUGGGUUCCGGGGGGAGUAUGGGAGCAAGGCUGAAACUUAAAGGAAUUGAC
rnacentral:rRNA from 1 species